AGAAGAAAUGGUACUACUUGAAGAUAAACAGCACUUUCAUGGCUAAUGGCCCUUCUGAGUUAUUUUCAUGUAUUUUUUUUCCCUAGGGACUGUACAGUAUGUAACUGAAUAAUAUGCAAGAUGAGAUAGAGGUAGAUGGACUUCUUAGAUUGUCUAGCUUCAACAGUUCAUUUUGAGGAUCCCUACUAAACCUGCAGUUACUGGGAAGAGGAAUGAACAGAAGAGGAAUUACUUCUGAAGUGGAAUUGGGAACUUAGGCAUGAGCGAUAUCUUGACCCAACAGAAGUCUCUCAGUAGCUUCUAUUCCAGUUUUAUCUGCAUACGAUAUUUUGAAAGACACUGCACGUGGACUUGGAAUUUUUUUAAACAUUCGUAUUGCAAAGGUGACUGUGGUUUGGAUUCUGUGGAGAAGGUUUCUGCUAUGACUCAGCCCCCAAAAGUGCUCCUCUUCUCUGCCAGACACCACUAAGGUAAAUGAAAAUGUUUUUUAGUGCAGGAUAGUCUUUUAUAUUAUUUGGUGUUAAUUUUGGUACCUGGAGCAAAAAUCCCUAU
rnacentral:lncRNA from 1 species